GACGAACGCUGGCGGCGUGCUUAACACAUGCAAGUCGAACGGAAAGGCCCUGCUUUUGUGGGGUGCUCGAGUGGCGAACGGGUGAGUAACACGUGAGUAACCUGCCCUUGACUUUGGGAUAACUUCAGGAAACUGGGGCUAAUACCGGAUAGGAGCUCCUGCUGCGUGGUGGGGGUUGGAAAGUUUCGGCGGUUGGGGAUGGACUCGCGGCUUAUCAGCUUGUUGGUGGGGUAGUGGCUUACCAAGGCUUUGACGGGUAGCCGGCCUGAGAGGGUGACCGGCCACAUUGGGACUGAGAUACGGCCCAGACUCCUACGGGAGGCAGCAGUGGGGAAUAUUGCACAAUGGGCGGAAGCCUGAUGCAGCAACGCCGCGUGCGGGAUGACGGCCUUCGGGUUGUAAACCGCUUUCGCCUGUGACGAAGCGUGAGUGACGGUAAUGGGUAAAGAAGCACCGGCUAACUACGUGCCAGCAGCCGCGGUGAUACGUAGGGUGCGAGCGUUGUCCGGAUUUAUUGGGCGUAAAGGGCUCGUAGGUGGUUGAUCGCGUCGGAAGUGUAAUCUUGGGGCUUAACCCUGAGCGUGCUUUCGAUACGGGUUGACUUGAGGAAGGUAGGGGAGAAUGGAAUUCCUGGUGGAGCGGUGGAAUGCGCAGAUAUCAGGAGGAACACCAGUGGCGAAGGCGGUUCUCUGGGCCUUUCCUGACGCUGAGGAGCGAAAGCGUGGGGAGCGAACAGGCUUAGAUACCCUGGUAGUCCACGCUGUAAACGGUGGGUACUAGGUGUGGGGUCCAUUCCACGGGUUCCGUGCCGUAGCUAACGCUUUAAGUACCCCGCCUGGGGAGUACGGCCGCAAGGCUAAAACUCAAAGGAAUUGACGGGGCCCCGCACAAGCGGCGGAGCAUGCGGAUUAAUUCGAUGCAACGCGUAGAACCUUACCUGGGUUUGACAUGGAUCGGGAGUGCUCAGAGAUGGGUGUGCCUCUUUUGGGGUCGGUUCACAGGUGGUGCAUGGCUGUCGUCAGCUCGCGUCGUGAGAUGUUGGGUUAAGUCCCGCAACGAGCGCAACCCUUGUUCACUGUUGCCAGCACGUUAUGGUGGGGACUCAGUGGAGACCGCCGGGGUCAACUCGGAGGAAGGUGGGGAUGACGUCAAGUCAUCAUGCCCCUUAUGUCCAGGGCUUCACGCAUGCUACAAUGGCUGGUACAGAGAGUGGCGAGCCUGUGAGGGUGAGCGAAUCUCGGAAAGCCGGUCUCAGUUCGGAUUGGGGUCUGCAACUCGACCUCAUGAAGUCGGAGUCGCUAGUAAUCGCAGAUCAGCAACGCUGCGGUGAAUACGUUCCCGGG
rnacentral:rRNA from 1 species